rnacentral:misc_RNA from 1 species
GGCUGAAUUAUCAUUAGCAACCUCAACCAAGAUAUCCUGAUCCAUUUGUAUAUUCGCAUCAUCAAGCAUCUUAUCCAUGUCAUUCAUCAAAGCAUGCUUUUGAUGGUUAAAGUAAUCCCAAAUGCAUACUAGUUCUGGAAUGAGAGAGAACAUCUCACAAGCUUUCUUAUGAAGUUGUCUAAUUGUUUCCUUUUUACUUAUUCUUAUGGUAGAACGCUCAUCUUUUGGCAUCAGAUGUAACUGAAGGCGCAGAGGAUAAACUUCUACAGCCAACUCAGUCUGGGAGAGGCCAGAGUUGAUCACCUUCCGUGGCAAUAUAGGACCUCCUCUGUACCAUUCAUAUAGUUGAUUCCACACUUCCUGAGGAAGUAAUAUAUAAUCGGUGCCUUCAAUGAGGGUAUCAUGCAGGUCAAUCCCCGCGCUAGAAUCCCCUGAGGCUGCUUCAUAUAUCAAGUCGGAAUUAUCAAUACUGGAAGGCCUCUUCAAAGCACUAGAACCACCAGUGCAAUGCUCAGAAGCAGAUCCAUCAUUUACAGUAUUAGCCUGGUUUUGGUUCACAUAUUCCAACCAUUCUUGCCACCAUCGUUGAGUGAUCAAAUAAAAGGUGUCGCCUUGUUUGGUUUGGGCUUCGGCAGCAAUAGAUAUAUCUCUGAUAGUGAGCUUCUCUUCCUCCGGCGUCAUUUCCCUUCUCUUCCGCUAAACUCAAAACUCAACAAACCAACAUUUC